UACCUUGGAUCGAUGGAUGUUAGAUCACUUUCCCUCACUUUCCCGUUUGAAGAGAAAGCUUAAGAGGUCUGAAGGGGUGGGGAGAAGUGAGUGCAAGAUGGAGUCAGAGUCCCCGAGGACAAAGAAGAGCACCAUGGAGGAUGGCUUGGAGGGGUGUGAAAAUAUAGACACAGAUUUAUUAUUUCUGCGCAGCAGGAGAUGAGAUUUUCUAUUGAAGCAAGG